rnacentral:misc_RNA from 1 species
AGGAACCGGAUGCGAGAAAUCCGCUCGUCCGGGUCUUUGGGGGAGCAGGGAGGUAACGAACUGCUCUACCCGGGA